rnacentral:rRNA from 1 species
UGGNCAGUAACUGACGCUGAGGAGCGAAAGCAUGGGGAGCGAACAGGAUUAGAUACCCUGGUAGUCCAUGCUGUAAACGGUGGGCGUUAGGUGUGGGGACCGGUUUGGUUUCUGUGCCGUAGCUAACGCAUUAAGCGCCACGCCUGGGGAGUACGGCCGCAAGGCUAAAACUCAAAGGAAUUGACGGGGGCCCGCACAAGCGGCGGAGCAUGUGGAUUAAUUCGAUGCAACGCGAAGAACCUUACCUGGGUUUGACAUGCACCAGACGGUUGUAGAGAUACGUACCUCCCUUUGUGGUUGGUGUGCAGGUGGUGCAUGGUUGUCGUCAGCUCGUGUCGUGAGAUGUUGGGUUAAGUCCCGCAACGAGCGCAACCCUUGUCUUAUGUUGCCAGCACUUUGGGUGGGGACUCAUGAGAGACUGCCGGGGUUAACUCGGAGGAAGGUGGGGAUGACGUCAAAUCAUCAUGCCCUUUAUGCCCAGGGCUUCACACAUGCUACAAUGGUUAGUACAACGCGCUGCGAGCCUGUGAGGGUGAGCGAAUCGCUGAAAGCUAAUCUCAGUUCGGAUUGGGGUCUGCAACUCGACCCCAUGAAGUCGGAGUCGCUAGUAAUCGCAGAUCAGCAAUGCUGCGGUGAAUACGUUCCCGGGCCUUGUACACACCGCCCGUCACGUCAUGAAAGUUGGUAACACCCGAAGCCCAU